ACGCUCGACACCUACGGGAGCAGCAGUGAGGAAUAUUGGUCAAUGGGCGCUAGCCUGAACCAGCCAAGUAGCGUGAAGGAUGAAGGCUCUAUGGGUCGUAAACUUCUUUUAUAUAAGAAUAAAGUGCAGUAUGUAUACUGUUUUGUAUGUAUUAUAUGAAUAAGGAUCGGCUAACUCCGUGCCAACAGCCGCGGUAAUCUGAGCGGGCGUGGCAAGGC
rnacentral:rRNA from 1 species